rnacentral:ncRNA from 1 species
UAUCCAGAGUGGUGGAGGGACAGGCCCUGUGAAGCCACGGCAACCGUUUCGCUUGAAAAAGCACGAAAGUCAGGUGCCAACUCCUGCCGUUGUUUUAGCGGAAAGAUG